rnacentral:rRNA from 1 species
UACGAAGGGGGCUAGCGUUGCUCGGAAUUACUGGGCGUAAAGGGAGCGUAGGCGGAUAGUUUAGUCAGAGGUGAAAGCCCAGGGCUCAACCUUGGAAUUGCCUUUUGAUACUGGCUAUCUUGAGUACGGAAGAGGUAUGUGGAACUCCGAGUGUAGAGGUGAAAUUCGUAGAUAUUCGGAAGAACACCAGUGGCGAAGGCGACAUACUGGUCCGUUACUGACGCUGAGGCUCGAAAGCGUGGGGAGCAAACAGG